rnacentral:rRNA from 1 species
ACGUGGAUAACCUGCCCUAAGGAAGGGGAUACCCCCGGGAAACUGGGGAUAAUACCCUAUAGGUUACAGAUACUGGAAUGCUCUGUACCCGAAAGUUCCGGCGCCUUAGGAUGGAUCUGCGGCCGAUUAGGUUGUUGUCGGGGUAACGGCCCAACAAGCCAGUAAUCGGUACGGGUUGUGGGAGCAAGAGCCCGGAGUUGGAUUCUGAGACACGAAUCCAGGCCCUACGGGGCGCAGCAGGCGCGAAAACUUUACAAUGCGGGCAACCGUGAUAAGGGAACCUCGAGUGCCUGUAUAUGCAGGCUGUCUGGGUGUCUAAAACACACCUAAAGAAAGGGCCGGGCAAGACCGGUGCCAGCCGCCGCGGUAAUACCGGCGGCUCGAGUGGUGGCCACUUUUAUUGGGCUUAAAGCGUUCGUAGCUGGGUUAUUAAGUCCCUUGGGAAAUCCGACGGCUUAACCGUCGGGCGUCUAAGGGAUACUGGCAAUCUUGGAACCGGGAGAGGUGAGGGGUACUUCGGGGGUAGGAGUGAAAUCCUGUAAUCCUCGA